UAGUUGGUAAGGUAACGGCUUACCAAGGCAACGAUACGUAGCCCACCUGAGAGGGUGAUCGGCCACACUGGAAGUGAGACACGGUCCAGACUCCUAAGGGAGGCACCAGUAUGGAAUCUUCCGCAAUGGGCGAAAGCCUGACGGAGCAACGCCGCGUGAGUGAUGAAGGUCUUCGGAUCGUAAAACUCUCUUAUCAGGGAAGAACAAACGUGUAAGUAACUGUGCACGUCUUGACGGUACCUGAUCAGAAAGCCCCGGCUAACUACGUGCCAGCAGCCGCGGUAAUACGUAGGGGGCAAGCGUUAUCCGGAAUUAUUGGGCGUAAAGCGCUCGUAGGCGGUUUUUUAAGUCUGAUGUGAAAGCCCACGGCUCAACCGUGGAGGGUCAUUGGAAACGGGAAAACUUGAGUGCAGAAGAGGAAAGUGGAAUUCCAUGUGUAGCGGUGAAAUGCGCAGAGAUAUGGAGGAACACCAGUGGCGAAGGCGACUUUCUGGUCAGUAACUGACGCUGAUGUGCGAAAGCGUGGGGAUCAAACAGGAUUAGAUACCCUGGUAGUCCACGCCGUAAACGAUGAGUGCUAAGUGUUAG
rnacentral:rRNA from 2 species